rnacentral:lncRNA from 1 species
GCCAGGCACAACUUUGCAUGAGGGAGCUUCAGGAAGAGGGAUAACCCUAAAAGGGAGAGAUCUUCAGGCAUCACACAUGACUUAAUGCUUGGGCCAGCAAGGAACCAUGGCCCAGCUUUCAGCCCACAGAACCUGACUGAAUUAGUCAUCUUUCUUAUCUCUGGAACGCAAUACCCAACACCCACAAAGAAGAAGAGGUUUAACUUGGCUCCUGAUCUUAGGGGUCUUAGUCCAUAGUUGGAGCACACAGGGACAUCAUGCAUGGAACGUCAGGGUGGAAGGUCAUGGUGGAGCAAAAUUGCUUAGUUCAUGGUGUCCUGGAAGCAGAGUACAGGAACAGUGCCAGAGAGAAAGGGACCAGACAUAGUCCUCAGUGUCAUGCUUCUGUGGCCCACCCACAUGCAGCCAGAGUGUGCUCUACUAAUCUCCUGCGUGGCUCAAAGCCUAUCAAGUUGGUACAGUUAAGCUUGACUACCACACUGACCAUGCAUUUGGAGAGAACAUAAAGUCACAUCCUGAACUGGUGCCGGACUUCCUCAUAAGCAGCCCUCCAGGACAGAAAACAUGGAUUCUGAGACCCAACUGUGCUGCUUGUACGUCACAUCUCCCGCCCUGCUUCAUGCUGCCCUGGUUACCUGGGCCAGAUCCCCGCUUUCUGUUCUGGAAGUUUCAGACAUCACGUGCAGCUUCACAGUCAGCACUUUGUAUCCCGAGCAGCCGGGGAGAGGAAUUGCCACAAAUAACUGCACUAAUGGAGAUAAUGGAAAAGAGAGACUGAUGUCUCUGGUUCACAGGAGGGCUGGUGCACAAGCUCUCUAAGUUGGGCCCAGUUUGAAUGCUUCAGCUGCCUGCUGGCUUCUAAAAUAAAAAAAAAAAAAAUAGCUGAGACUGUUGGGAAGUUCUGCCUGUGGUGACAGCAUCUAAGGGAAGACUCUCAGUCCUUGGGACAGGGAAAGGACUGAGGACAUUUGUCAUUCUCCUGCCUCCCACAAGUCUAGUCCAACUUGCCCCUUUCAAAACCCUGCCCCAGGGCACCCUAGGUGCACAGGGAGUGAUGAUAUCAUCCCCUACACCCUGCCAGUGGCUCUCGGUAUAGGGAUCCUGGACCACAAGCAGCAUCACCAGAGAACUUUCUGGAAAUGCCUCCUCCCAGGCUCCACCCCAUGUCUGCUGAGUACUCAGUUGGAAACUCCAGAGGUGGGUCUGGGCAAUCUGGUUUUAACAAGCCCUUUGAGGAAUUCCACAGCAUGGUC